CCGACCCGCGGCCGGCGAGGGUGCGUGUGGAGGUGCGCUCGGCCGGAGUCCGGCCCUGUGCGCGCCAACCACCCCCCGCCCAUGGCGUGGAGCACCUCUGGGCUCCCCACUUGAACGGCGGGCCGCGCCGGCCCAUGAGGAAAGCGGGGUGCGGAGCUCGCCCCCUGCCGGAGGAUGCGCUCCGCCCGCGGGCACCCUGUGGGGACCACAGCCGGACGCCAGAAGUGACCAAACCGUGAAUGUGCGCGUUGCGUGCAGUCAUUGCAUCCUCGCAGCCCUAGGAGUCAGAUGAAGAGAUGGCUCUUAAGGAAAUUCUCGGUUAUAUUGAAAAAUCCAGAAGCUCUGAAGAUACCAGUCAAAUAAAAUCACACCCUAUAACUCUACACCAGACUUGUGGCAUGGUUUCUGUAGCUGCCAGCAGUAAAACCAAGAGAAACUUUACAAAAACCUUUUGUGCAUCUGAAAAGGAGGAAGUGUGAGAGACAUUGGAAAUUCAAUAUGUCAGACAAAGCCGUCUCCUGACACUGCAGGACAGUGGACCAAACAAUCUUUUUAAAGCUCCCAUGUAAGAAGUUGCUAUAUGAGGUGGCAGCUUGGGUCAGACAUUAUGUAUGGCCUUUGGUAUUUUAGUAGCACUGCAUGUAAAAUUUAACUUUCUAAAAUCGCUGUAUUCGUGGAUAGCUUUUAUCAUUGCACUAGACAACAAGUUACAAUUUAAAAACUG